CCUACGGGAGGCAGCAGUGGGGAAUCUUCGGCAAUGGGCGCAAGCCUGACCCAGCAACGCCGCGUGAAGGAUGAAGGUUUUCGGAUCGUAAACCUCUGUCGCUAGGGACGAAGAAUGACGGUACUUCGUAAUAACGCCUCGGCUAACUAUGUGCCAGCAGCCGCGGCAAUCCGUAGGGGGCAAGCGUUGUCCGGACUGACUGGGCGUAAAGGGAGUGUAGGCGGCUCAUCAAGUUAGAUGUGAAAUCCCGCGGCUUAACCGCGGAACGGCAUCUAAAACUGGUGAGCUGGAGUGCAGGAGAGGAGAGUGGAAUUCCAAGUGUAGCGGUGGAAUGCGUAGAUAUUAGGAGGAACACCAGAGGCGAAGGCGACUCACUGGACUGUAACUGACGCUGAGGCUCGAAAGCGUGGGGAGCAAACAGGAUUAGAUACCCCAGUAGUC
rnacentral:rRNA from 1 species